GUGAGCUGGAGACAAUGAUCACCAUGGAGAUGGCCACCCCCACCCUGUCCAGUUCGGUCCUAAGAACUGCCCCCAUGAACUAGACAGUCAUCGCUGCUUGCCACCGUGCCUACCUAGUGCCUCCACUAACGCCCAAAAGAGCCUUUUGAGAUCCGUGCUAUUAUAAGUCCCAUUUUAUAGAUGGGGGACUUGUCCGAGGUCACAUAACUCGUGACAGCGGAGCAGAGAUCUGAUGGGGAGUCAGAUCUCUCUGACAUCACUGUGCUGCACUGCUGGAUGUGACAGCUUGACGGGACACAGAGAGGCUGCUCUGGGAGACCAGUGAGCCAAGCUGGUCAGGAUGAGACAAUGUAUUUGUGCAAGGCCUUUAAGGGUGAAGAAACAGAGGCGGAAAGAGACAAGCAAGUAGCUUUCCAAAGGCAAGGUGAUGGGCCUGGGACUGUGACCCAGCAGUGGUCCAGGUGUGUUCGCAGAGGUUUCAGCAAACCUGCCAGGGCAUCCCCUGGCUCAGGAGACCUUGAACCACGGAUUGAAGCUGAACAGACCCAACUGUGGAACUAUCUCUUCCUCCUCUGGGGACUGGACGACCUUAAGAAUUUAAGGAACUCAGAAGAGACCCAUGAGCCCAGGGUAGGAAUGGCUGCAGCACUCACCUGCAGCACAUGCUCCUUGCUGCCAGGAGCAGAGGAGAUCUGGUACUUGCUGGAGCUGCUGAGGUCUCCUUUGGUGUUCUGCCAGUGCACUUCGGGUCUGGGCUCCCCACAGACCACCGCCCGAAAGAUGGCAUUCUUUCCUGUGGCAGGAAGAAGCAGCUUGGGGGUAGAGUGGCAAUAGAUGUUAUUUAGACUUAAACUUACAUCAUCCUCCCUGUGGUUCCCAAAAGAAGUACCCGGCUUUGAGCCCCUUGACUUGGGACUCAUCAUGUCAGGUGGAAAGUUUCCAGGUGCCCAGAAGCAGUGCUGGCCUGAGGUCAACCAUGCAGGGCCUGGUGUCCCCAGGAGAAAGAUGUGGUGUGCCGUCCAUGGUCACGAAGGGAGAUCUUGGAAAGCAAUGGCUGCUGGUACUCAAAGGAGCUGGUCCUGAGACAUAGGACUCCAGCCUCAGAGAAGACCCGAAGUUCCAUGCAGGGCAAGAUGGCGUGGGAGCUACUUGACCCUCACAGAGCUCAGCUGCCUCCCGCCAGGGACAUCUCAGCAGAAGAAUCUGAAGGUCCCAGGGCCCUCCCUUGUGUUCAUGACCUUGUUUCAUAUUUAGAAAAGUAAAAUAUCAUACCAUUGUUUUUCUUA